rnacentral:lncRNA from 1 species
UGUACUUCUUCAUACAGAUGUUAUGCUGAAGAAUUACUUCAUCCCUAUAUGACCAUCUCACCUAAUAAUCAAAUGACCCUAAAUGCCUUACUAACCUACCCCCACCCUCACUAAACUUCAUAAUAAAUGCUGGUAUAUCCAGUUCAUUGGUGGCAUCGCAGGACCAGAAGGCGGUGACUGCCCUGGACCCAGCUUUCACUAUCUUGUGUGUGUCUAUUAUUUCUCGAGCUGCUGAUCCUCCUGGGAACAAAGAGAGAGCCCGUUGCAGGCUGCUGGCCAGAUCCCACAAUAUCUGUCCUGCAGUGUGGCCUCUUUUGUUCCGUGGCUCAGUGCACUCUGAGUGCAUGUUCAUGAUGACUAGUCUUCAGUCUCCAUGGUAAGGUCUCCGGGUACAAGUUUUCUGACUCUCCCCUCUUUUUGGGUUUGUUGACCAGUACUGUUCCAGGGUUAUUAUGGGACAAUCACAGUCUAAACACCAGGCUUAUCUGUCUUUUAUUAAACUUCUUCUUAUACUGGGUGGAAUCAAGGCAGAUUCCAAUAACAUUAUUCUCUUAUUUCAAACUAUUGAAAAAAAAUAUUGUCCUUGGUUCCCUGACAAAGGUUCUAUGGACCUGUUAGACUGGGAUAGAGUUGGUGUCACAGUCCACCAACUCACGAGAGAUGGUGUUUUACUUCCUAUUUCUGUUUGGGCUGACUGUGCUGUUAUUCAUGUUGCUUUACUUCCUUUUCGGUCUGGUGAUCCCCUUCAACUGCCACAAGUUAAUGUGGAUGGUGAGCUGCUCCCUUUACCUUGGGUACCUGACCCCCCUACUAGUCCUCCUUCUGAUGAUGAGGAGGAAUUCGAUCUCUCCAUGUUUUCUCCCCAAGAGGAGGAACAUGGUGAUGAUCCCCUCCCUCUGCCUCUUAUCUUGGAACCUGUAAGUGUUAAAUCUUCUUCUACUAAGCCAUUGCCCCCUCUGCCAGAGGAGGAUGUGUGGUAUUCAUCUGAAUGGCCUGAUUCUCAUUCCUCUCAUCCCUUUGGACCUCUCCCCUCUUCUAAGCCUACUGUUUCUUUCAAUGCUGUGGGACCCCUUCUUUCAGAGGUUUGGAUUCCUGCUUCACCCUAGUCCACCUCCCAGUGCCCUCACUCUCCUUCUCUCUUUUCCUCUGCCCCUGCACAAUAGAUGUAUGAGUCACCUGUUUGUGUAGAGCAGUGGCCACUUUCCAAACACAAGUUGGAGGCUUUAAUUGAAAUUGUUAAUGAUUUACUACAAGCAAACACUAUUCAGCCCUCUUUGUCUCCAUGGAACUCGCCUGUGUUUGUUGUACAAAAAAAGUCAGGAAAAUGGAGGAUGGUAACACACUUAAAAGCUGUUGAUGCAGUUAUUAAACCUAUGGGGGUGUUACAACCCAGUAUGCCCUCCCCCUCCGUGAUUCCUAAGGAAUGGCCUUUAAUUAUCAUGACCUUAAGGACUGCUUUUUUCAUAUUCCUUUAGACAAGUCAGACUGUGAAAAAUUUGCUUUCACUAUACCUUCCAUUAGCAAUUCAGCUCCUGCAACUAGAUAUCAAUGGAAAGUUUUACCUCAAGGAAUGAUUAACAGUCCUACUAUUUGUCAGUGGUUUGUCAGUACUGUGUUACAACCUAUCUGACAGACUUUUACAAAUAAUUACAUUCUUCAUUAUAUGGAUGAUAUACUGAUUGUUGCUCCCACUAAAGGUGAAUUAAUUCAAUGUUUCACCUCUUUAAAAUUAGCUUUUGCCAAUACAGGAUUCCACAUUGCUCCUGAUAAAAUUCAACAAGCCACUCCUUUUCUUUAAUUAGGAAAGCAGCUAGAAGCUCACUCCAUUAAUCCCCAAAAAGUCCAACUUUGUACUGACAAUUUAAACACCUUAAAUGAUUUUCAAAAAUUACUAGGUGACAUCAAUUAUCUCAGACCAGCCCUAGGCAUCUCUACUUAUGCAUUAUCUCAUCUAUUUGGCACUUUAUCAGGAGAUACAGAUUUAAGCAGUUCUCACUGUCUAUCAGAACCAGCAAAACAAGAGUUGUCUUUUGUAGAAUAAAGAGUGAGAGAGGCAAAAGUCUCUUGUAUUGACCCAAAUUUGCCUUUACAAUUUUUAGUUUUUCCUUCCAUCCACUCUCCUAUGGGACUUAUAGUACAAAAUGAUGCUCUAGUUGAAUGGGUAUUUCUUCCUAAUUCAUCAUCUAAAACUUUUUCAACAUAUCUUGAUCAAAUGGCCACUUUAAUUGGGUUAGGAUGUCAACGUAUCACUAAAAUUUCUGGCUUUCAUCCAAACAUUAUUGUGGUCCCUUUGUCAAAAAAUGAAGUUAAAAAUACCUUUUCUACAUCCUUGUGCUGGCAGACUAAUCUGGCUGACUUCAUUGGCACUAUAGAUAAUCAUUUGCCUAAGUCAAAAUUCUUUCAAUUUCUAUGAAAUACUUCCUGGAUUCUACCAAAACUUACUCGUUCAUCACCACUAGAGGCAGCCAUUACCAUUUUUACUAAUGGGUCCAAUAAUGGAAAGGCAGGGUAUGUAGGACCAAAAGAUAAAGUCAUUUCUACUCCAUACACUUCUGCUCAAAAAGCCAAGUUGUUUGCUGUUAUCUCUGCAUUACAGGAUUUUGAUCAGCCUCUUAAUAUUGUCUCGACUCAGCUCAAGUAGUCCAUGCCACUAAGGCAAUAGAAACAGCUACCAUCAGAAACAUUGCUGACACUAAUCUGUUUUCCUUGUUCUCUUUGUUACAAAAAAACUGUCAGAAACCGAAACCACACUUUUUUUCAUCACUCACAUUCGAUCUCAUACUAAUUUGCCUGGACCUUUAUCCAGUGAUAAUCACAAAGUUGAUACUCUAGUUUCUCUAGCCAUUAUGGAUGCAGAACAAUUUCAACAACUCAGUCAUACUAAUGCCUCAGGUCUUAAACAUAAAUAUUCUCACAGUUGGAAACAAGCUAAACAAAUUGUAAAACACUAUUCUCAGUGUCAGGUUCUUGUCUUACCCACACAAUCUCCCGGAGUUAAUCACUGAGACCUUUCUCCUAAUGCUAUUUAGCAAAUGGAUGUUACUCAUGUUCCUUCUUUUGUAAAAUUAGCUUAUGUGCAUGUCACAUUUGACACCUUUUCCAAUUUCAUCUGGGCUACCUGUCAAACUGGAGAAGCCUCUUCUCAUGUUAAAAAACUUAUGUUUUCAGGUUUUGCGGUUAUGGGAAUUCCUAGUGGGCUCAAAACAGACAAUGGUCCAGCCUAUUGCAGUAAAGCUUUUAAAAAUUUUCUUGAUCAGUGGUAUAUUAAACAUAUUACUGGUAUUCCUUAUAACCCACAAGGACAAGCUAUUAUAGAAAGAAGUAACAGAACUUUAAAAUUACAAUUACUUAAACAAAAAGAGGGGGAUAAGGAGUUGUCUACCCCUCACAUACAACUAAACUUGGCAUUGCUCACAUUAAAUUUUCUUAAUAUUCCUAAAUCUAGUUUUGUUACUGCUGCCAAAAAAAACAUUUCUCUGGUAAGCGUCCCACAGUAAACCAAGGAAGGGAAGUAUAGUGGAAAGAUGUUCAAUCUAAUAUAUGGUCAAAAGUUUCUAUUUUAACCUGGGAAAGAGGCUAUGCUUGUGUUUCCCCAGGUGCACAUCAAUCUCCGUUUGGAUUCCUGCUAGACACCUGAAAUUGUGUCCUGGAGAUGCAUGCGACAACGAGACAGAGAAAUUUGCUGAAAAAACACCACAGAAAAAAACAACUAACACAUCCAACUGUCAAAAAAAAAAAAAAAAUAACCACGCUAACUCCUUUACAACAGACAAUCCAGUCAGCCAUCCUGAACAACUCAUCUCCAGAGAUCCAGGUCUGGCUCGACCUCUGCCUCCUCCUGAUGACACUGAUCCUUCUACCCUCUGUCACUCCACAGACUAUUAAAAACUGUACAAAUUGGGCCUAUAUUCCAUUUCAUCCUCUUAUUUGAGCCAUGACAUGGAUGGACGCUCCUAUCGAAGUUUCUGUUAAUGAUAGUAUUUGGAUGCCUGGUUCUGUAGAUGAUCAUUGUCCUGCCCAACUUUCAGAAGAAGGAACCCCUUUCAAUAUCAUUUUAGGUUUUAGGUAUCUACUUUUGUGCCUGGGACCCACUAAUGGAUGUCUCUCAUUAGAGAUUCAAACAUGGGUGGUCACACUAGCGUCUGGUCACUCCAUCCCUCCUUUGGAACACUUGGUAUCAGGGCUCUCAUUAAAACCUCUAAGGCAGAUCAAAAUAGGAAUUGCUGAUUAUAUUCACACAUCCCAAUAUAAGCUUUUAGGACCUGUGGGUCCCCUCAACUUGUCUUCAAAUGCUGACAAAUUAAUAUGGAAGGAUUGUGUUAGUUCAGAAGGAACUGUGUUAUUUAAUUGUUCUCACUACACCAUUGUUGAUUAGGCUCCUAAAAGUCAUAUUAUUAAUGAUUGCUCUCAAGGUCACAGAGAUUAUCAACAUUUUCUCUAUGAUAUUACUUAUCAAGAAAGUAGUGGCAACCCUCACCUAUUAUAUCAUAGAUUUAACUCCUUUUUUCCUCUUACGUGGAAAGGGGCAGGGAUUGCCCCUCCAAAGCCAAGGCUCUUUGUUCCCCACUUAGGACCUCAACAUUCAGAAUUAUGGAGUUUAACCAUAGCUAUGACUGGUAUGAGAGUUUGGGCUGGAGAAAGUGUUAUAAGUAAAUCCACCUUGUCACCUCAAAAACCAAGACAACAGAUUGAUUCACACUACUAUUUCCACACAGCCAAAAAAUAUCACUAUGGCAAUCAUCAAAAGGUCAAUUCAAAGAUGGGACAGUAAAGAUUAUGAGGACUUAUAUCCCCCGGUUGCUAAUGUCCCCCCACCACCUCUCAUACAACCUAUUCCCCCCACCCCACAUUCACAAAAAAGAGUACCAUCCCAAAAUAUAUAUACUAUCUAUAUGGAGUCCAACAAAACUAUACCACUUAAAAGUUGUGUUAAACCACCAUAUAUGUUAUUAGUAGGAAAGAUGCAUAUUAGUUCAAAAACCAACAUAAUUACAUGUGUUAAUUGUUACUUGUAUACUUGUAUUGACUCAUCCUUUAAUCAACAUCAUAGUAUUUUAAUAUUGAGAGCCAGAGAAGGUAUUUGGAUACCCAUAGCCUUACAUAGGCCUUGGGAAUCUUCCCCUUCUACAGAUGUUAUUAAUAAUAUUCUACAGAAAAUUCUUAAAAGGAGUAAACAAUUUAUUUUUACAUUAAUUGCAGUAAUAAUGGGCUUGAUUGCUGUUACUGUGACUGCUGCUACUGCUGGAGUUGCAUUACAUCAGUCUAUUCAAACUGUUCAUUUUGUGGAUGAAUGGCAAAAAAAAAAUCUACUCAGAUGUGGAAUUCUCAGUCAGGUAUUGAUCAAAAAUUGGCCAAUCAAAUUAAUGAUCUAAGACAAACUGUUAUAGGGAUGGGAGAUAGAAUUAUGAGUUUAGAACAUAGAUCACCAAUGCAAUGUGAUUGGAAUACUUCUGAUUUUUGUAUAACUCUGUUUCAAUAUAAUGAGUCUGUUCACAAUUGGGAAUCAAUAAAACGUCAUUUGCAAGAAAGUGAAGAUAACUUAAGUUUAGACAUAAGCAAGCUGAAAGAACAGAUUUUUGAGGCCUCUCAAGCACACUUAACUGCUUUACCAAGUGUUGAAGCUUUAGACAGUAUCUCUGAGGGGUUAUCUAAUCUCAACCCCAUUCAAUGGGUAAAAUCAUUGGGAGGAUCCACUAUUGUUAAUUUUGUUCUCUGUAUAAUUUGUGCUAUUGGUUUAUUGUUCAUGAGUAAAAUUGAAAAAAAUAUUCUUCAAUCCAGUCAUGAUCAGCACCAAGUUAUGAUUGCUAUGGUUCAUUUAAAUCAGAAUAAAAGAUGAAAUGCUAUAGAAUAAAAGAUGAAAUGUUACAGAAUAAAUGACGAAAUGCUCCUGAUUAUUGUAAAUACAAAGUUGCAUGCUGGAUUGUGUAAAGACAAUGCCAGGUUGGACUUCCAGAGUGAGCCAACAGUGCAUGAUGUGCUUCCUUCUGCAGAGAGCCUAUGAACGAACGUGCAGUCAUGGAGGUUUCAUAUCACCAAGAUUCCUAUCCCAGAAAAGCAGAUGUCCAUAACUCUGGGAAUGGAAUGCGACUCUUGUGGAGAGCCUACAAAUGGAUGCAUGAGGGGCACCUGUUCAUAUGGAUAAGAUAGAGCUAUAAAUGCCCUCAUCUUGCCAUGUCUCUUCUAGGCCUCUUUAGGGUUAAGGCAUACUCCCUUCUGAUAAUUUCUGGUCUAACCAGCUGUCUAGCUUCACGUCCUGUUUCUAUGGAUUGUUUGUAACCAGCUUUUGCUGCAACUGUUACUGCUGAUUAAUAUCUUGCUAAUGAUAGAUUACGGAAAGACUGUGUUUCUGUUUUAAGGUUCUGUCAGAAAUUACUGAUGCACACACUAUAUUGUAAAUUCUUAUCUCUGUAUAUUGUACUUCUACAUACAGAUGUUGUGUUAAAGAAUUACUUCAUCCACAUGUGACCAUUUCACCUCAUAAUCAAACGACCCUAAACCCCUCACUAACCUACCUCUGCCCUCACUAAACUUCAUAAUAAAUGCUGGUAUAUCCAGUGCAUUGACAGCACCACUGGACAAGAAGGCGGUGACCAUCCUGGA